GACGAACGUUGGCGGCGUGCUUAAUACAUGCAAGUCAACUGAAGCACCGGUAGUAAUACUGGUGUGGAGGUGGCGCACGGGUGAGUAACACGUAGGUAAUCUGCCUUCAGGUCUGACACAACCCCGAGAAAUCGGGGCUAAUAGCAGAUGAUGCAGCGGCUUGACAUCAAAGACAGUUGUUAAAGCUUCGGCGCCUGAAGAUGAGCCUGCGUCUGAUUAGCUAGUUGGCGGAGUAAUAGCCCGCCAAGGCGACGAUCAGUAGCUGGUCUGAGAGGAUGAUCAGCCACACUGGAACUGAGACACGGUCCAGACUCCUACGGGAGGCAGCAGUAAGGAAUAUUGCUCAAUGGGAGAAAUCCUGAAGCAGCAACGCCGCGUGAGGGAUGAAGGGCUUUUGCUCGUAAACCUCUGUAGUGAGGGAAAAAUUUCCAUUCUAUGGAAUAUGAUGGUACCUCAAAAGUAAG
rnacentral:rRNA from 1 species